GACGAACGCUGGCGGCGUGCCUAAUACAUGCAAGUCGAGCGGACGAUUCGAAAGCUUGCUUUUGAAUCGUUAGCGGCGGACGGGUGAGUAACACGUGGGCAACCUGCCCUGUAGACGGGGAUAACACCGAGAAAUCGGUGCUAAUACCGGAUAACACGAAAUGUCGCAUGACGUCUCGUUGAAAGGCGGCGCAAGCUGCCGCUACAGGAUGGGCCCGCGGCGCAUUAGCUAGUUGGUGAGGUAACGGCUCACCAAGGCGACGAUGCGUAGCCGACCUGAGAGGGUGAUCGGCCACACUGGGACUGAGACACGGCCCAGACUCCUACGGGAGGCAGCAGUAGGGAAUCUUCCGCAAUGGACGAAAGUCUGACGGAGCAACGCCGCGUGAGCGAAGAAGGCCUUCGGGUCGUAAAGCUCUGUUGUUAGGGAAGAACAAGUAACGUAGUAACUGACGUUACUAUGACGGUACCUAACGAGAAAGCCACGGCUAACUACGUG
rnacentral:rRNA from 1 species